rnacentral:rRNA from 1 species
CCUACGGGAGGCAGCAGUGGGGAAUAUUGGACAAUGGGCGAAAGCCUGAUCCAGCCAUGCCGCGUGUGUGAAGAAGGCCUUCGGGUUGUAAAGCACUUUCAGUGGGGAAGAAAGCCUUGGGGCUAAUACCCUCGAGGAAGGACAUCACCCACAGAAGAAGCACCGGCUAACUCCGUGCCAGCAGCCGCGGUAAUACGGAGGGUGCGAGCGUUAAUCGGAAUUACUGGGCGUAAAGCGCGCGUAGGCGGUCUGAUAAGCCGGUUGUGAAAGCCCCGGGCUCAGCCUGGGAACGGCAUCCGGAACUGUCAGGCUAGAGUGCAGGAGAGGAAGGUAGAAUUCCCGGUGUAGCGGUGAAAUGCGUAGAGAUCGGGAGGAAUACCAGUGGCGAAGGCGGCCUUCUGGACUGACACUGACGCUGAGGUGCGAAAGCGUGGGUAGCAAACAGGAUUAGAUACCCGUGUAGUC